UACGAAGGGGGCUAGCGUUGCUCGGAAUCACUGGGCGUAAAGCGCACGUAGGCGGCUUGUUAAGUCAGGGGUGAAAUCCUGGAGCUCAACUCCAGAACUGCCUUUGAUACUGGCGAGCUUGAGUUCGGGGGAGGUGAGUGGAACUGCGAGUGUAGAGGUGAAAUUCGUAGAUAUUCGGAAGAACACCAGUGGCGAAGGCGACAUACUGGUCCGUUACUGACGCUGAGGCUCGAAAGCGUGGGGAGCAAACAGGA
rnacentral:rRNA from 1 species